CCUACGGGAGGCAGCAGUGAGGAAUAUUGGUCAAUGGACGAGAGUCUGAACUAGCCAAGUAGCGUGAAGGAUGACUGCCCUAUGGGUUGUAAACUUCUUUUAUAUGGGAAUAAAAUGUUCCACGUGUGGGAUUUUGUAUGUACCAUAUGAAUAAGGAUCGGCUAACUCCGUGCCAGCAGCCGCGGUAAUACGGAGGAUCCGAGCGUUAUCCGGAUUUAUUGGGUUUAAAGGGAGCGUAGGUGGAUUGUUAAGUCAGUUGUGAAAGUUUGCGGCUCAACCGUAAAAUUGCAGUUGAAACUGGCAGUCUUGAGUACAGUAGAGGUGGGCGGAAUUCAUGGUGUAGCGGUGAAAUGCUUAGAUAUCACGAAGAACUCCGAUUGCGAAGGCAGUUCACUGGACUGCAACUGACACUGAGGCUCGAAAGUGUGGGUAUCAAACAGGAUUAGAUACCCCGGUAGUC
rnacentral:rRNA from 1 species